AACGGGGUGCUAAAUAAAAAACAUACACAAAAUCAUUCGAUCUGCGUAUGGGCUGAGAGAUACCCGUCGAACCUGAUCCGGAUAAUGCCGGCGAAGGGAUUUGAGU
rnacentral:ncRNA from 1 species